GUAAAUUACCCAAUCCUGAUUCAGGGGAGGUAGUGACAAGAAAUAACAACUCGGGGCCUCACGGCUUACGAGAUUGCAAUGAGAACAAUUUAAAUCUCUUAGCGAGGAACAAUUGGAGGGCAAGUCUGGUGCCAGCAGCCGCGGUAAUUCCAGCUCCAAUAGCGUAUAUUAAAGUUGUUGCAGUUAAAAAGCUCGUAGUUGAAUUUCUGAUUAUGGAUGUAGCGGUUUCCGUUACAUUUGUAGUCAUCCACAUGAGAACCUUUCUCGGCCUUCACUGGUCGGUUGGGGGAUCAUGUACUUUACUUUGAAAAAAUACAGAGUGUUUCAGGCAGGCGUUUGCAUGAAUACACAAGCAUGGAAUAAUGGAAUAGGACUAGGGUCCAUUUUAUUGGUUAUUGGACCAUAGUAAUGAUUAAUAGGGACAGUUGGGGGCGAUUAGUAUUUAAUUGUCAGAGG
rnacentral:rRNA from 1 species